GAUGAACGCUAGCUGCAGGCUUAACACAUGCAAGUCGAGGGACCGGCGCACGGGUGAGUAACACGUAUCCAACCUGCCCUUUACUCGGGGAUAGCCUUUCGAAAGGAUGAUUAAUACUCGAUAUAAAGGAUGGGGAUGCGUUCCAUUAGGUUGUGGGUGAGGUAACGGCCCGCCAAGACUUCGAGGGAUAGGGGUGCUGUGAGGGAGGUCCCCCAGAUUGGAACAGGGACACGGUCCAAACGCCUAGGGGAGGCAGGAGUGAGGAAGAAUGGUCAAUGGGCGUUAGCCGGAACCGGCCAAGUAGCGUGAAGGAUGAAGGCUUAUGGGUCGUAAACUUCAUGUAUAUAAGAAGCGGUAUUAUAUGAAUAAGGAUCGGCUAACUCCGUGCCAGCAGCCGCGGUAAUUC
rnacentral:rRNA from 1 species